AAGUCGUAACAAGGUUUCCGUAGGUGAACCUGCGGAAGGAUCAUUAAAUAUCGGUAGUUUACUAUCGUUUGAGGGGUGUGGAAACUGCCUUCAAAGCAGGAGUACGUGCCUUUUCUUAACCCUUGACUUUUUGCGCACUUGUGUUUCCUCGGCAGGCUUGCCUGCCGAUUGGACAAAUCAAUAACCUUUUUAAUUUUGAAUCAGCGUCUGAAUUAUUUUAAUAAUUACAACUUUCAACAACGGAUCUCUUGGUUCUG
rnacentral:misc_RNA from 1 species